CUGCCCCUCCCUCCUGGCUCCAGAGUCUGGGGUUGCCCAGCCACCCCACACCUUGCUCCCCUCUCCUUCAGUCCCCCAGCACUGUCCCGAGGCACCUAGAGGCCCAGAGACAUGGGGUGCUUCCCUCCUGUCCACAGGCAAUGUCCCCUGAUGGGGAGGCCAUCGUCACUGGUGCUGGAGACGAGACCCUGAGGUUCUGGAACGUCUUUAGCAAAACCCGUUCGACAAAGGAGUCUGUGUCUGUGCUCAACCUCUUCACCAGGAUCCGGUAAACCUGCCGGGCAGGACCGUGCCACGCCAGCUGUCCAGAGUCGGAGGAUCCCAGCUCCUCAGCUUGCAUGGACUCUGCCUUCCCAGCGCUUGUCCCCCGAGGAAGGCGGCUGGGCGGGCGGGGGAGCUGGGCCUGGAGGAUCCUGGAGUCUCAUUAAAUGCCUGAUUGUGAACCAUGUCCACCAGUAUCUGGGGUGGGCACGUGGUCGGGGACCCUCAGCAGCAGGGGCUCUGUCUCCCUUCCCAAAGGGCGAGAACCACAUUGGACGGUCCCGGCUCAGACCGUCUGUACUCAGAGCGACGGACGCCCCCUGGGACCCUCACUGCCUCCAUCUGUUCAUCACCUGCCCACCGGAGCCGCAUGCUCUUCCUGGAACUGCCCACGUCUGCACAGAACACACCA
rnacentral:sRNA from 1 species